GGUUAAACUUGCAUUAAGUCGUGUUUAGACAGAAAAUAAAGGAAUAUGGAGUAAACGUGCACGGGACCUAAUCGCAUACAAAGUCAAUGCAUAGAAAAAGUACAAAUGAUCAAUGGUCAAAGUUUUUAUUCCUGUUCUUCAUCUUGAUAGUUGCUGGAGGGUCUUGGACUUCAAUAAUCAUUAAUACCGUAAAAGAAGGUCAAGAUGGUCCCUAGUGUCGACUUAAGCAGUACUAGUACUUAAAGUAUAAUACUGCACUGUCACUAUAUUUAAAUCUAGUCAUAAAAAAAUCACC
rnacentral:lncRNA from 1 species